rnacentral:tRNA from 8 species
GCCGGGAUAGCUCAGUGGUAGAGC